ensembl:rRNA 5S_rRNA 5S ribosomal RNA
GCUUACGGCCACACCGCCUGGUAUACGCUUGAUCUCGGAAGAUAAGAUAGGUUGGGCCUGGUUAGUACUUGGAUGGGAGACCGCCUGGGAAUACCAGGUGCUGUAAGCU